rnacentral:rRNA from 1 species
GGGGAAUUAGGGUUCGAUUCCGGAGAGGGAGCCUGAGAAACGGCUACCACAUCUAAGGAAGGCAGCAGGCGCGCAAAUUACCCAAUCCUAAUACAGGGAGGUAGUGACAAGAAAUAACAAUACAGAACUAUUUAUAGUUUUGUAAUUGGAAUGAGUUAAGUAUAAACCCCUUUACAAGUAUCAAUUGGAGGGCAAGUCUGGUGCCAGCAGCCGCGGUAAUUCCAGCUCCAAUAGCGUAUAUUAAAGUUGUUGCAGUUAAAAAGCUCGUAGUUGGAUUUCUGUUAAUUUUCUAUAUAUAAUAUUUUUAAUAUUUAUAUAGUAUUAACAUAAUUCAUAUUACUUAUUUUAAGUAUAUGAAAUUUUACUUUGAGAAAAUUAGAGUGCUUAAAGCAGGCAAUUGCCUUGAAUACUCCAGCAUGGAAUAAUACAAAAGAUUUUUAUCUUUUUUAUUGGUUCUAAGAUAAAAAUAAUGAUUAAUAGGGACAGUUGGGGGCAUU